rnacentral:rRNA from 1 species
UACGGGGGGAGCAAGCGUUGUUCGGAUUUACUGGGCGUAAAGGGCGCGUAGGCGGCCACCGCAAGUCGACUGUGAAAUCUCCGGGCUUAACUCGGAAAGGUCAGCCGAUACUGCGGGGCUAGAGUGCAGAAGGGGCAACUGGAAUUCUCGGUGUAGCGGUGAAAUGCGUAGAUAUCAGGAGGAACACCGAUGGCGAAGGCAGGUCUCUGGGCCAUAACUGACGCUGAGAAGCGAAAGCAUGGGGAGCGAACAGG